GACGAACGCUGGCGGCGUGCUUAACACAUGCAAGUCGAACGGAAAGGCCCUGCUUUUGUGGGGUGCUCGAGUGGCGAACGGGUGAGUAACACGUGAGUAACCUGCCCUUGACUUUGGGAUAACUUCAGGAAACUGGGGCUAAUACCGGAUAGGAGCUCCUGCUGCAUGGGGGGGGUUGGAAAGUUUCGGCGGUUGGGGAUGGACUCGCGGCUUAUCAGCUUGUUGGUGGGGUAGUGGCUUACCAAGGCUUUGACGGGUAGCCGGCCUGAGAGGGUGACCGGCCACAUUGGGCCUGAGAUACGGCCCAGACUCCUACGGGACGCAGCAGUGGGGAAUAUUGCACAAUGGGCCGAAGCCUGAUGCAGCGACGCCGCGUGCGGGAUGACGGCCUUCGGGUUGUAAACCGCUUUCGCCUGUGCCGAAGCGUGAGUGACGGUAAUGGGUAAAGAAGCACCGGCUAACUACGUG
rnacentral:rRNA from 1 species